rnacentral:rRNA from 1 species
UAGGGAAUCUUCCACAAUGGACGCAAGUCUGAUGGAGCAACGCCGCGUGAGUGAAGAAGGUUUUGGGAUCGUAAAGCUCUGUUGUUGGUGAAGAAGGAUAGAGGUAGUAACUGGCCUUUAUUUGACGGUAAUCAACCAGAAAGUCACGGCUAACUACGUGCCAGCAGCCGCGGUAAUACGUAGGUGGCAAGCGUUGUCCGGAUUUAUUGGGCGUAAAGCGAGCGCAGGCGGAAGAAUAAGUCUGAUGUGAAAGCCCUCGGCUUAACCGAGGAACUGCAUCGGAAACUGUUUUUCUUGAGUGCAGAAGAGGAGAGUGGAAUUCCAUGUGUAGCGGUGGAAUGCGUAGAUAUAUGGAAGAACACCAGUGGCGAAGGAGACUCUCUGGUCUGCAACUGACGCUGAGGCUCGAAAGCAUGGGUAGCGAGCAGG